rnacentral:rRNA from 1 species
CCUACGGGGGGCAGCAGUAGGGAAUAUUGCUCAAUGGGGUAAACCCUGAAGCAGCAACGCCGCGUGGAGGAUGAAGUUUUUAGGAUUGUAAACUCCUUUUGUCAGAGAAGAUUAUGACGGUAUCUAACGAAUAAGCACCGGCUAACUCCGUGCCAGCAGCCGCGGUAAUACGGCGGGUGCAAGCGUUACUCGGAAGCACUGGGCGGAAAGAGUGCGUAGGCGGGGUAAUAAGUCAGAUGUGAAAUCCUGUGGCUUAACUACAGAACUGCAUUUGAAACUGUUAGUCUGGAGUGUUGGAGUGGUAGGUGGAAUUCUUGGUGUAGCGGUAAAAUCCGUAGAGAUCAAGAGGAAUACUCAUUGCGAAGGCGACCUGCUGGAACAUUACUGACGCUGAUGCACGAAAGCGUGGGGAGCAAACAGGAUUAGAUACCCUUGUAGUC